rnacentral:rRNA from 1 species
GACAGAGGCCUCAAGCGUUAGGCGGAAUCACUGGGCUUAAAGCGUGUGUAGGCGGAUCGUUAAGUGUCUUGUGAAAUCCCACGGCUCACCCGUGGAACUGCUGGGCAUACUGGCGAUCUUGGGCCAACUAGGGGCAACUGGAACAAGCGGUGGGAGCGGUGAAAUGCGUAGAUAUCGCUUGGAACGCCAAAGGUGAAAACAGGUUGCUGGGGAUGUGCUGACACUGAGGCACGAAAGCUAGGGGAGCAAAACAGG